UUUUCCAUUCUCUCCUCCUCCUGUGCCACCAACUGGCCACCAGACCUUAGUGCUUUUACCACCUCCAAAUUUCAAAACUGGCCGCUGCCGCUGCUCCUCACCCUGCCUCCCUGUUCUCAGUCUGCAGCUCUCCCACGCCUCCUCGCUGCACGUAUGAAGAAAUCCGAGUGCCUCUGUCCAGGGAAGACUAGAUGGUAUCUUUCCUUCCUCCUCUGAGACACAGGGCUAUGUUCCAGGGCCGUUCCCUCGGCUGACUCCAGGUCACAGGGAGGUGUGGGGACAACCCAUUUCUUCCCAGGUGAUUCCUCUCGAGUGCCCAGAGAGGGUGGUGCUGAGAGGCGCAGUAUCUCCCAGGCACAUGCCACACCAGGAGCACAAGGGCAGCACACCAUGCUGACAAACCAGAAUUUUAGUUCAAAUGAAAAGAAGAUGGCUCCAACCGCUUCUCUGAAACGCAGGGCCGAUCGGAAGACACCGCAAGUCCUCUCUAGUGCUUGAGUGGACCCUCAAGCCCCUUCACCACAUUUCCUGUCCCAGUAUUUAACUGCUAAGUGGUCAGCAGCAGCAAUAAACAGAACGGGUGAUUGCUGAUUCCUCUGUUCGUUCACCGGCAUAACAGCACUUGUGUGUGCGUGUGUGCGUGCAUGGGCACGUGUGUGUAAAUAUCCUCCCCCCUCCUGCCCUGACGAUAUUAAUGUAAAAAUGUCUUUUGUGUGUGCGGCUGAAUGUAGUUGAGCUUUUUCUGAUACUGCAUCCCAAAGCCAG